AUUGAACGCUGGCGGCAUGCCUUACACAUGCAAGUCGAACGGCAGCACGGGUGCUUGCACCUGGUGGCGAGUGGCGAACGGGUGAGUAAUACAUCGGAACGUACCUUAUCGUGGGGGAUAACGCAGCGAAAGCUGUGCUAAUACCGCAUACGCCCUGAGGGGGAAAGCGGGGGAUCGCAAGACCUCGCGCGAUUAGAGCGGCCGAUGCCUGAUUAGCUUGUUGGUGGGGUAAAAGCCCACAAAGGCGACGAUCAGUAGCUGGUCUGAGAGGACGAUCAGCCACACUGGGACUGAGACACGGCCCAGACUCCUACGGGAGGCAGCAGUGGGGAAUUUUGGACAAUGGGGGCAACCCUGAUCCAGCAAUGCCGCGUGAGUGAAGAAGGCCUUCGGGUUGUAAAGCUCUUUUGUCAGGGAAGAAACACCGGCUCUAACACAGUCCGGGAAUGACGGUACCUGAAGAAUAAGCACCGGCUAACUACGUGCCAGCAGCCCGCCGUAA
rnacentral:rRNA from 1 species